GGCCUCAUCGUCUAACGGUUUAGGACGUAGCCCUCUCAAGGCUAAAAUCGGGGUUCAAUUCCCCGUGGGGCUA
rnacentral:tRNA from 3 species